AAGCCACUUUUCUCUUAGAGGGAUCGAGAAUAAUCCAGAACAUAAAUUGAGGUACCGUCGCUGAGAUUGUGUCUCGUAUUGACUGAAAUGAGCCACGCACCAACUGAACGAGGCAUCUAGUUUGCAAUAUGCAUGCCGCAAGUUGAAAUGUGCAGACCUCAAAUCGAAGAGAAGCACAUGUUGCGUGCUGCAGAAAAUGGGGCCCAAGAGCGACUUUUCUUCUUACUGCUUCAUCGUUUAUUGUCCUGUGACAGGCACUGUGAAUCAUAUAGCUAGUGGAAACAAAAACACACGAUAAGUAUACUGCAAACUCUCCGCUGCGCUAUCAGCUGCUAUCAGCAGCUGUGGGUUACAUGUGGUAAAAAGCAGAAAACGAUCAUCAGAAUAAAUCAGAACUGACUGAUAUCAUGGCGAUAUGUUAGAAAUUGAGUUUUAUGAUAAGACAGUGACAUGGACGAUCACUCACGCAGGCUGAAGCACCAGCUGCAAUGUUUAAAACUGCUCCCAUAUCUCUCUCACCACUUUUCGCUUGCUUCUGAGAAGGAUUUCCGAGCUGUCAAAAGACUUUGUGCAGUUCAGUGCACACAUCUCAUGCAGUGCGAAUCCAAGUUGUCUGGUGCAUUUGUUAGGCUGAGAGCAUAUCUGUGGUCCCGGAGCCUCUGAUUUCAGCACGCAGGGUAUUUUCAGCAGGGUGGCAUGACAUGGAUAUGGAUACGUUCAUUCGCGGCGUUAGCUGCUGAGGUCAGUCUUAGGUACCAGCGUGUGUGACGAGAAUCACUUCUCCUGCAAGGGGCAUUGGCGUGCUGCUACGAGUAAGGCUCGAUGUGAGGCUCCCUUGGGUGUUAUCUUCAAACGUAGCCAUAUACAGCUUCGUAGUAAAAACGAGGCGUUGUCUGCGUUAGCAUAUUUUUGUUCAAAAAGGUAGGUGCCCGCACAGUCAAAAAGAAAACGGGAGAACCAAGCUAAUCUAAAAUGUCACAUACGCAAGCAAUAAACACAGCGGCUUACGCACCAGUAUUUCAAGCUGAGAAAGAAAACAAGCGUAUAUCCCCUAAAUAUAGCGUUAGUUAGGACAUGAGGCUAGUAUAUCUCCAUAAAGCAAUUAUAGUUCAACGGCGCUUGCUCUUUACGUACUGGAACCACUGCGGGCAAAAACGCAACCCGCGCAGUUGCCACUGCGCGCCAGCAAACUGCAGCGAGAAUCGCUGCGCUCACAGAAUAUACCAUUGCAACCCAGCGUCAUAGCAAGGAAACCAGCGUCUCGUCCUGCAUCACCCCGCUCUUUUCUAGCAACCUCAGUGCUCUAUAUCACCCACUCCCUGAGAGCAUCAGCGUCCCCAGUGCGAUCCAUUGAGAAAAAAACGUGCUCGUUUCACACCGGAAGACACUGUAAGACGCUAGGUAAAAGCAAUAGGACAGCAGUGAAAAAGCGCUCAGUAAUUUUUUGGCGAAUGUGCCCGUUCAGGUAGGAACUCAGAACUUUCAUGAAACAUUUCACUUAUUAUGACCUGUAUGUGCAAUAAAUCUAACUUCAGUGUUGGGUGAAGUUCUCUCGAGACACUGGAAUCUAAUGGAAUUGGUUGCAUAAUGCUUGCAACCACUUGCGGAAAGAAAUAAUUAUGCAAUUAGCAUUCAUAGCGGACUCUCAAAAGUUUUUUUAGAUGUUUGAUUUUUGGUCAACGCCUAACCUUUUUUACGCCAAAUUGCACCCCUUGGUAGCCUAUGGUCUAAUGGGCAGAGGAUACCCUUAACGCAUACGUGCGUUACGAAAUUUAUUAUCUGACAUAGCAUCUGCUACUAAGAAGAAGCAGCAACGACUACUUUAAUUAGGCAGAGCAUUUUCGUGUAAUUGUCGGAUUUAGCUUUCUGCAGCCUUUGUCUUCUUUCGUGUGUCUUUGUAUCUAGCCUUUUUAGACCACUCCUCAAAUAAAUAGUACUUGAUGUUUUUGA